rnacentral:sRNA from 1 species
AGUUUGAUCAUGGCUCAGAUUGAACGCUGGCGGCAGGCCUAACACAUGCAAGUCGAGCGGCAGCGGGAGGAAGCUUGCUUCCUUGCCGGCGAGCGGCGGACGGGUGAGUAAGGUAUGGGGAUCUGGCCGAAGGCGGGGGAUAACCACUGGAAACGGUGGCUAAUACCGCAUAAUCUCUAAGGAGCAAAGUGGGGGACAGUUCAGGCCUCACACCUUCGGAUGAACCCAUAUGAGAUUAGCUAGUAGGUGGGGUAAUGGCUCACCUAGGCGACGAUCUCUAGCUGGUCUGAGAGGAUGAUCAGCCACACUGGGACUGAGACACGGCCCAGACUCCUACGGGAGGCAGCAGUGGGGAAUAUUGCACAAUGGGCGCAAGCCUGAUGCAGCCAUGCCGCGUGUAUGAAGAAGGCCUUCGGGUUGUAAAGUACUUUCAGUCGUGAGGAAGGUGUUAAGGUUAAUAACCUUAGCAAUUGACGUUAGCGACAGAAGAAGCACCGGCUAACUCCGUGCCAGCAGCCGCGGUAAUACGGAGGGUGCGAGCGUUAAUCGGAAUUACUGGGCGUAAAGGGCACGCAGGCGGUUAAUUAAGUUGGAUGUGAAAUCCCCGGGCUUAACCUGGGAAUGGCAUUCAAGACUGGUUAGCUAGAGUCUUGUAGAGGGGGGUAGAAUUCCAUGUGUAGCGGUGAAAUGCGUAGAGAUGUGGAGGAAUACCGGUGGCGAAGGCGGCCCCCUGGACAAAGACUGACGCUCAUGUGCGAAAGCGUGGGGAGCAAACAGGAUUAGAUACCCUGGUAGUCCACGCUGUAAACGAUGUCGAUUUGGAGGUUGUGGUCAUGAACUGUGGCCUCCGGAGCUAACGCGUUAAAUCGACCGCCUGGGGAGUACGGCCGCAAGGUUAAAACUCAAAUGAAUUGACGGGGGCCCGCACAAGCGGUGGAGCAUGUGGUUUAAUUCGAUGCAACGCGAAGAACCUUACCUACUCUUGACAUCCAGCGAAUCCUUUAGAGAUAGAGGAGUGCCUUCGGGAGCGCUGAGACAGGUGCUGCAUGGCUGUCGUCAGCUCGUGUUGUGAAAUGUUGGGUUAAGUCCCGCAACGAGCGCAACCCUUAUCCUUUGUUGCCAGCGAGUAGAGUCGGGAACUCAAAGGAGACUGCCGGUGAUAAACCGGAGGAAGGUGGGGAUGACGUCAAGUCAUCAUGGCCCUUACGAGUAGGGCUACACACGUGCUACAAUGGCGUAUACAGAGAGAGGCGAGCCAGCGAUGGGAAGCGGAACUCAGAAAGUACGUCGAAGUCCGGAUUGGAGUCUGCAACUCGACUCCAUGAAGUCGGAAUCGCUAGUAAUCGCGGAUCAGCAUGUCGCGGUGAAUACGUUCCCGGGCCUUGUACACACCGCCCGUCACACCAUGGGAGUGGGUUGCAAAAGAAGUAGGUAGCUUAACCUUUUGGAUGUCGCUUACCACUUUGUGAUUCAUGACUGGGGUGAAGUCGUAACAAGGUAACCGUAGGGGAACCUGCGGUUGGAUCACCUCCUUACCUAGAUAGAUGGAAUGUGAGUGUUCACACAGAUUGUCUGAUGAAAUAGCGCGUAAAGCCAAUCUAAGAUUGACUGAAGAGCUUGAAGUCCCCUUCGCCUAGAGGCCUAGGACAUCGCCCUUUCACGGCGGUAACAGGGGUUCGAAUCCCCUAGGGGACGCCACUCUAGUGAUUUAGAAAGGCGGUGCAUCACGCUUUUAGUGUUGUGCACUGUUUGUGCUUUACGCAAUAAUGAUUAAACCAAUUCAGUGAGUUGGUUUACCAAUAAUGCUCUUUAACAAUCUGGAACAAGCUGAAAAUUGAAACACACAUUAUUGAAGAAAUAGUGUGGAGAACUCUCAAAACUCCAAUUUGAAGUGUUAUUCAAAUAGGCAGACGAGUGGCAUGAGCGAGCAGGGUGAAAUUUGCGGCGUAGGCGCGCAGUCAGCGCAGCGUACAUAAGUACGUGAGCAUGACGAGCGCCGCACAACAAAAAAUUUCGCACGGCGCAGCCAUGACGCUUCCGUAUUAUUUGAUAAGAGACACCUUCGGGUUGUGAGGUUAAGCGAAUGAAGCGUACACGGUGGAUGCCUAGGCGGUCAGAGGCGAUGAAGGACGUGCUAAUCUGCGAAAAGCGUCGGUAAGCUGAUAUGAAGCGUACUAGCCGGCGAUGUCCGAAUGGGGAAACCCAGUGCAUUAAUGCACUAUCGUUUGAUGAAUUCAUAGUCAAACGAGGCGAACCGGGGGAACUGAAACAUCUCAGUACCCCGAGGAAAAGAAAUCAACCGAGAUUCCCCCAGUAGCGGCGAGCGAACGGGGAGCAGCCCAGAGUCAACAUCAAUAUUUACCGCAGGAGAAGGGUCUGGAAAGGCCGGCAAUAAAGGGUGAUAGCCCCGUAUCUGAAACGGUAAGUGUUGUGAACUCGAAGAGUAGGGCGGGACACGUGUUAUCCUGUCUGAAUAUGGGGGGACCAUCCUCCAAGGCUAAAUACUCCUGACUGACCGAUAGUGAACCAGUACCGUG